GAUGAACGCUGGCGGCGUGCCUAAUACAUGCAAGUCGAGCGAACAGACGAGGAGCUUGCUCCUCUGACGUUAGCGGCGGACGGGUGAGUAACACGUGGAUAACCUACCUAUAAGACGGGGAUAACUUCGGGAAACCGGAGCUAAUACCGUAUAAUAUAUUGAACCGCAUGGUUCGAUAGUGAAAGACGGUGUUGCUGUCACUUAUAGAUGGAUCCGCGCCUCAUUAGCUAGUUGGUAAGGUAACGGCUUACCAAGGCAACGAUGCGUAGCCGACCUGAGAGGGUGAUCGGCCACACUGGAACUGAGACACGGUACAGACACCUACGGGAGGCAGCAGUAGGGAAUCUUCCGCAAUGGGCGAAAGCCUGACGGAGCAACGCCGCGUGAGUGAUGAAGGGCUUCGGAUCGUAAAACUCUGUUAUUAGGGAAGAACAAAUGUGUAAGUAACUAUGCACGUCUUGACGGUACCUAAUCAGAAAGCCACGGCUAACUACGU
rnacentral:rRNA from 1 species